AGAACACCUGGCAAUGCCCAUAGGGACUCAGAUGAGAAGGCAGCUGGACCAGAAGUAAACAGAAGCACAAAACCACGGAAUUGUAGUGACACUGUCAUCACUGAAUUUCAGCAGAAGUGUGGCGCAUCCCAGGAUAGAUUCCACCACAGUGGAAGCACAGCCCUCAGGAUUCCCUAGGGUUACUCUUGAACACGUGGAACCCAGGCUUCAGCUCUUCCUGUUGGUUUGGUCGCUGGCUCAACUUAAUUCUCCCAGCAAGCAGUGAUUGUUGUUCAGUAACAGAAGAAAUCGGCCAUACUAGCUGCCUUCCUGACUCCAUGAUUUUGUUCUUUGUGUGUGUGGCUGGCAACAGUUUAAGAAAACUUCCAGAAUUGCUACAGCGUCUUAUGUUCAAGCAACUACCUUGGUGGGAAGGGAUGGACAGCUUGGGUUACCCAGACAAGACCGGACCAAGAGUAAAUAGAAUGGGUUGAGAAGGCUCAGUGACAACACAGGCAGGGAAAUGUAUGGACACAGGCAUGUGGGUAAUAUCACUCACCUGGAAAUGCGGAGACUGACACACAUCCAGAUUUGAGCAGACUCUCACACCUCCUCUCUGUGAUGAAGAUUACCUCACUGUUUUGGGAGCGUCAGCCUCCUAAAAGAAGGAAUUCUCAGCCAGAGAAACAAUGGACAUACCUGACAGUAUAUUGCUGUCAUUUAAAAUUCAUCAGAUGUGCUCUAAGUUGUUUGCUGCAUAAGUAAUUUUACAGGCAGAAUCUUUUUAAAGGUGUGACAGACCCACGUAUUUUUGUAGCAAGCUCCUGUAUUCGCUGCAUCACCUUCAACUUCAUCCCUCGGGAUGUCUGAAGGAAAACUCAUUGCUAAUUGCUAAAUGUCUCUUAAAAUAACAGCCUAUUCUCUGAAAUUGCUACCAAUAAUAAGAAGUUAAAAAAUAGAUCGCUAUCCCUCACUCCACUCGAUUUUUACCUCUUCUGCCCUGCUCAUUAAGGAAAUUAGUCAACAUUGGCCAUCUCAGCUUGAAAAUGGGCACAGGACCAGAACCUGAAUCCUAAUUCAUACUGCGCCAUUCAUUCUUCAGCAACAAGAGUCCUACCUUGUGUCAGAUGAAGUAAAACAUGGGCUGUCUUUUGGAUGUGUCCCAUAGGCUUCUGAAGGCCACAGCAACAGUUAAAUUUUAGCAUACUGUAAAUACCAAGGUUCUUCUUGGUUACAUUUCUUGGUGUACAAUG